rnacentral:lncRNA from 1 species
GAGGGGGAGACUCUCGAAGAGCCUCUCUAUCAUCUCCGCUAGACUCUUGCUUACAGUGUGGACCACUUUGCAAAAGUAGUUUUCGAGAUUGUUUGCUCGACUUUUGGCGUGUGCAUCUGUGUUGUUUAGAUCUGGAGGUAACAUUGCGGUUGGGGCUUGUGUAUAGAGGUGUGUGUGUGUGUGUGUGUGUUGGAGAGAUUAGGGGGGAGACUCUCGAAGAGCCUCUCUAUCAUCUCCGCUAGACUCUUGCUUACAGUGUGGACCACUUUGCAAAAGUAGUUUUCGAGAUUGUUUGCUCGACUUUUGGCGUGUGCAUCUGUGUUGUUUAGAUCUGGAGGUAACAUUGCGGUUGGGGCUUGUGUAUAGAGGUGUGUGUGUGUGUGUGUGUGUUGGAGAGAUUAGGACGAGACUUGAAUAUUUAUGAGCUUUGCUUGAAACUGACUCGCUGUGUUUACUUGCCUCUUUGUUCCAUACCCCUCCCUCCCCUUUCUACACUCACUCACACACAUACAUACACACACACAGACACACAGACACACAUACACAUACAUAAGUAGAUUUUUAAAAAUCCAUUACAUGUGAAACAUUUUCUAAUUCCUUCUUUUUCGGGGCGAUUUUUUAAAUAGAAACUAGUUGCACAGAUGAAGCAAGAUCCACAGAACGGUGAUCUUAAGAAACCAAUCCAUGAGAGGCAAUCGAGAAUAACAGCUCUUAAUGAAAAACAAAAGCUGGCGGUACGGAGCUGCUCCGCCGCGGUGCUGGUGGGGACAGCAGGCGCUGGCAGCAGUACCGGCAACACCACCACCACUACUACCAACAGCGGCGGCUGUGCCGGGAGCAGCAGCACAGGCGGCGGCGGCGGU